rnacentral:lncRNA from 1 species
AUGUUCCCUUAGGGAGGUCAGGCUCACUUGUAUGUUAGGAUUCCAACUCACUGAGUCUGAAAUUCCCAAGGCAAGGUUGGUUUUCAUGGUUUAUUUCUCCUCCUCAGAUAUGGCCUUGCAAAACUCUACACUUUCCAAAGAGGAGAACACAGAGGCAGAGAUUAUGGCUGCUGUGGUUUUUUCUGUUGGACCUCUGAAUCCUGAAAUUACCCAUCCACAUGAAAAUCUGCACCUUCAAGCAGAAGAAGC